rnacentral:piRNA from 1 species
CUGAGACUAAAGUUGGAGGCCCAGG